CACGUAGGGCGCAAGCGUUGUCCGGAAUUAUUGGGCGUAAAGAGCUCGUAGGCGGUCUGUUGCGUCCGCUGUGAAAACUCGGGGCUUAACCCCGAGCCUGCAGUGGAUACGGGCAGACUAGAGGUAGGUAGGGGAGAAUGGAAUUCCCGGUGUAGCGGUGAAAUGCGCAGAUAUCGGGAGGAACACCGGUGGCGAAGGCGGUUCUCUGGAACGGUACUGACGCUGAGACGCGAAAGCGUGGGGAGCGAACAGG
rnacentral:rRNA from 1 species